rnacentral:lncRNA from 1 species
UUAAGCCAAGAAAAUAUUCUUGUAUCACAAGUCUGUGGACUCAACUCAGCCACAAGAAAUCACAUAAAGAGAAAUAAGGCACCUAACACACAGAACACAGGCCUGCAACAUGAACAUUCCACAGAGACAAAGACUUGGGACCACUAAUAUAAAUAAUGGAUCAAACUUUAGCAAAAGAAGGAUAUGUCAAGAGACAAGGCAAGGAUGGAAAGUUUUAUAACAUCAUGUGAAAACUAUCAAGACUCUCUAUGAAAGACAUUGUUUGGUUUUAUUAUGCUGCUUUAUCAAAAAUAUAAUUCCAUUAUUCAACUUGAGGUUCAUACAGUCUCUGAAGAAAAUUCAUACAAGUAUAUAAAUGAGUAAGAAUUAAGCUGUGUCAGCUCUUUGUAUAUCAAGUAUGAG